ACAAAGGCUAUGACAAGGAGAGUAGUAAAGGAAGUAGGUUUACAGAGAGAUAAUCAAUUGCUGAGAGAUUAUCAACUGACCCCUUUAUGAAAAUCACCUUUGAGCUGGGUACCUGAAAUAGUAAUAGAGUAGGGUAUUACGUAGAAAUGCGUUAAAUCUAAUGAGUGAUAAGGCAUUUAUUAUUUUUAUUUAGGAUAACUAUGCCUUAUAAUAUGGGUGGUACCGCGGAAAUAAUCCGUCCCUAAG
rnacentral:ncRNA from 1 species